UACGUAGGGUGCAAGCGUUAAUCGGAAUUACUGGGCGUAAAGCGUGCGCAGGCGGCUCUGCAAGACAGAUGUGAAAUCCCCGGGCUCAACCUGGGAAUUGCAUUUGUGACUGCAGCGCCGGAGUGCGGCAGAGGGAGAUGGAAUUCCGCGUGUAGCAGUGAAAUGCGUAGAUAUGCGGAGGAACACCGAUGGCGAAGGCAAUCUCCUGGGCCUGCACUGACGCUCAUGCACGAAAGCGUGGGGAGCAAACAGG
rnacentral:rRNA from 1 species